GCCGGGAUGGUGAAAUUGGUAGACACGCAGGACUUAAAAUCCUGUAACCCCUAAAGGUUGUGUGGGUUCAAGUCCCACUCCUGGUA
rnacentral:tRNA from 1 species